GGGUCGCUGGUCCACCCCGGUUAUGACGCUUCCUUCACACGGAAGAGGCCCCAAGUUCAAACCUUGGGCAACCCA
rnacentral:tRNA from 1 species